GACGAACGCUGGCGGCGUGCCUAAUACAUGCAGUCGAGCGAAUGGAAGGGAGCUUGCUCCCGACCGUUAGCGGCGGACGGGUGAGUAACACGUGGGCAACCUGCCUAUAAGACUGGGAUAACUUCGGGAAACCGGAGCUAAUACCGGAUAGUUCUUUUCCUCUCAUGAGGAAAAGGGGAAAGAUGGUUUCGGCUAUCACUUAUAGAUGGGCCCGCGGCGCAUUAGCUAGUUGGUGAGGUAACGGCUCACCAAGGCGACGAUGCGUAGCCGACCUGAGAGGGUGAUCGGCCACACUGGGACUGAGACACGGCCCAGACUCCUACGGGAGGCAGCAGUAGGGAAUCUUCCGCAAUGGACGAAAGUCUGACGGAGCAACGCCGCGUGAACGAAGAAGGCCUUCGGGUCGUAAAGUUCUGUUGUUAGGGAAGAACAAGUAUGAGAGUAACUGCUCGUACCUUGACGGUACCUAACCAGAAAGCCACGGCUAACUACGUGCCAGCCGCCGCCGUAAUAC
rnacentral:rRNA from 1 species